rnacentral:rRNA from 1 species
GAUGAACGCUGGCGGCGUGCUUAACACAUGCAAGUCGAACGGGAUCCCAGGAGCUUGCUCCUGGGUGAGAGUGGCGAACGGGUGAGUAAUGCGUGACCGACCUGCCCCAUACACCGGAAUAGCUCCUGGAAACGGGUGGUAAUGCCGGAUGCUCCAGUUGACCGCAUGGUCCUCUGGGAAAGCUUUUGCGGUAUGGGAUGGGGUCGCGUCCUAUCAGCUUGAUGGCGGGGUAACGGCCCACCAUGGCUUCGACGGGUAGCCGGCCUGGGAGGGCGACCGGCCACAUUGGGACUGAGAUACGGCCCAGACUCCUACGGGAGGCAGCAGUGGGGAAUAUUGCACAAUGGGCGCAAGCCUGAUGCAGCGACGCCGCGUGCGGGAUGACGGCCUUCGGGUUGUAAACCGCUUUUGACUGGGAGCAAGCCCUUCGGGGUGAGUGUACCUUUCGAAUAAGCACCGGC